AUGUUUGACGAGUAUUACCGAGUAAAGCCGCAGGUCCUGAAGCUGUCGUACUCGGAUUACUUCUAGAGGUUGGAGCGAUAUCCGACGAACCUGAUCAAGAACAUCUAUCUGGAUACGGAAGAAUUCACCGCAACUCCCGCCCGCAAACGCUCAACUCGCGACGGCGCAACUUCGGCCGGAUGAACUGGCAACAUCUGUGUCAUUCUCGAAGGAUGACCAAGUGAUCUAGAACUAUCGGUUCAGGCGCUUCACUUCCCAGUCGGAAAACGUCGACUUCCUUUCCCGAAUCAACACCCAAUGGCCAAAUCCUUCAAGCCUGAUGAUGGCCAGCAACGAGACCACCCUGUUCUCUACAUCGCUGUCGGACUCCAAAAUGAAGGCCGUGAUGUUAAGCAGCAUAAACAGCAGUUUUAGUAUUAAAAUAAAAAUAAAAAUAGAAAUAAAAUCCACCACAUUUUUCGAAAAUCAUCACUGUAAUGUUAAAUGUUAUUUUUUGUUGCCAUAAAAAGUUUCUUGUUAUAAUAAAAGUAAAAAACUUUUACCGAUACAACGAUUUGUUCCAAAAAUGCAUGGUAGUAUCAAAAACUUUCCAACUUUUAAAUAGAAAAGUUUGAACUUUCUACGAAUAUUCACCAACGCAAACUUUUAAUCCAACGAACGAUCUUUUAAAAUUUACAGUAUUUUUUCUUUGUGUGUAUAAGCAGUUCAUGUAUAAAUGAUCCAGGAAGCUGUAAAAAAAAUUAAACGCAAUUUAAAAUAAUACUGUUGCCACUGAACUGAUAAUUGAAAAUAAUUGAAAUUACUUCCUACCCACGUCCUGCAUCAUGCACACCUAAAAACGUCAAACAAAAGAAAGACAAAAAUCGCUGCUGCGCCACGAAUCGCCUCCACUGCUGGCACUGAACCCGCAAUUUUUGGAGUGUUAACAUUCAAACAAAAAACAUUAGCAUUAAUUGAGCAUUAAACAAACAUUGCCACAAAAUCCGCUUUGUAAAUGCCACCCCGAUACUCUUCAAGAGGUUUCGCUUAGGGUAACUGGGAAAGAUAUACUUUUUACCAAAAUGUCCACCAAAUUUCCAUACAAACAUACAAAAAAGAACAAAUCAAAUCAUAACAGCAAUGAAACAUAUCAAAUUUCAAGUAUUCCAAAUGAUUGCACAUCUGUCAACAAUAUUUAUAAGGGGUUUCACAUAAAUUACACCAACAAUAACGAUUAUUCUUGCAAAACAAUCUUCAAUCACCAUUUCAAACGCACUUUAAACUGUUUGUUUACAUAAGUAAAUAAUCUAAACAACACAACACUUCUCCCAACACAAAUUUGACAACGGAAAUCAGCAGCCGCCGAUUCAAUAACAACACCCACCGAAGCUCGUUGAAAACUGACUGAAAUGUCAAAUUCGAAAUAAAUUCCUUCAGAUGCAAACCGCCACGGCAAUCAGCCAUUGGCUCGCCGCGGCGAUUGAGGGGCGAACGAUAUUGAAACAUUUCAGCGAUCAGUUUGAACCGCCCAGGCGAUGCGCCCAUAGCACGCAAAGGCGGAUGGAGGGCGGACGAAAUUAAAAAAUUUCAAACGUCAAAUUUCAACCGCCGAUGCGUAACGUCCGCACUGAGUUAAUGUGGGCUGGAGCGGGAUCUGUUCGAGUGGUUCCAAAUCUGCGGCCAUUGCCGUUGAAUCAGCGGCAAAAAGUUGCAGAGAAUACAACACCUCCUGGCUACAGUCAGCAACCGAGGGAAAACCAACCAGCAUCAACGGAUGAAGGCAGUAGUUUUCACCACAAGAACUUCUGAACAUUUUCUUCGAGAUGACAACAACACUGCGUGGUUGCAAAACUUGUGCGGAACAAGCAGGGGGAUGCUAAAGGCCGCCAACUUGGGUGAUUGAGAUUGAUAACGCGUGCAAACUGCGCACAGUGAAAACAAAAAUAUUUUUGUUAUUAAUUAUUCAAUUUCUGUUAUAAGAAUUACUGUAGUAAAAGUAAAAUUACACAGUAGUUAAGUAUAACGUUUCAUGUGAUAAAAGUACAACUUUUAAUGAGGUCAUGCUUAAUAAUCCCAACUUUAGUAGUUUACUUUGCAAAUAAAUUGAUAAAAAUCACAUAAAAAAAUCACUAACUUUUAAACGUACAUUGCUGUAAAAUUUUACAAUUAAAUUAUUUUUUACCCAGAUGUUUUCGAUUCAAUGCAAAAAUGUAAACCAAUUUUAAGUAAAUAUAUGAAUGUGAACAAAUCAAAUCAAAAAAUCAAAAUCAAAUUAUUCGCUCUACAGCAUUGCCUUGGCGUUCUCGAUUGCGAGAUUCCUACUCGAAACUAGGUGUUCGAAGGCUUGAUUGUUGAGGCAAUUGCAAACCUCUUUUUACACCUUAGCUUCCAUCCACCCUGGGAUUCGAACUGACGGCCUUUGGAUUGUUAAUCCAACUGCCUACCAGCGACUCCACCGAGGCAGGACCCAGGGAGACGACUUCUACACCUGGACUGAGCUAACGACCUAACCUUUUUAGGUUAGUCCGGGGCCAACAUUUACUUCCCGUCCGACGGAAGGCGUGAUCAGACAAAUCUCGUCUCGAAAAAUGCCACCGGGACCGUCUGGGAUCGAACCCAGGCCGACUGGGUGAGAGGCAAUCACGCUUACCCCUACACCACGGUCCCGGUGGCAUUUUUCGAGACGAGAUUUGUCUGAUCACGCCUUCCGUCGGACGGGAAGUAAAUGUUGGCCCCGGACUAACCUAAAAAGGUUAGGUCGUUAGCUCAGUCCAGAUGUAGGAGUCGUCUCCCUGGGUCCUGUCUCGGUGGAGUCGCUGGUAGGCAGUUGGACUAACAAUCCAAAGGUCGUCAGUUCGAAUCCCGGGGUGGAUGGAAGGUAAGGUGUAAAAAGAGGUUUGCAAUUGCCUCAACAAUCAAGCCUUCGAACACCUAGUUUCGAGUAGGAAUCUCGCAAUCGAGAACGCCAAGGCAAUGCUGUAGAGCGAAUAAUUUGAUUUGAUUUUGAAAUUAGUGCACAUGUUUGCAGACCUUCUAAAAAAAAAUUUUUUUUGUAGAGCUGAGAAAAUUCUCUAUAAUUUUCUUUAUUGAACUUUGUUGAUACGACCUUAAGUUACUGAGAUAUUGCCAGCACGGUGCUCAAAAUACCGUUAUUAUGAAAAAAAUAUGUGUUCGAUAGCUGGACCAUACCGGCACUUAAACCCUGGACGGAGUGGUAGUAUGGUCAAGCAGUGGACAGAUUCUCCAUCUGAUCUACGGGCAUGAGGUUGAGGUAGUGUUAAGCGCGAUCUCUUCUAUCCACACUAUCUUCUCCAUAUUUCUAGGGGAUUCUCUGCUACUUUCUGGGAAAGGGUUAUGACAGCAAAAUCCAUCUACACGAGCCGAAGGCCCAGAGAUCUCCGCGGGUUGGGGAUCGGAGGUAACAACUGUUCAGGGACUGAUCUGAUCAGUCAGUCUGGACCACUGUGGCCAACGGUAAGGAUGACCGCGCCGCGCCGUAUUUUAACUCGUUUAAUGUAAAUUGUAUCGUUUAGUCUGAGUGCUGUAAAUAAAGCUGUUAUUGUGUACUUUGUGUUAAAUGUAACAGCGGGUGUUUCAUUUGGCUGCACGAUGACCAGAACCAGGGAAGAAGCAGCACAACACCACCUCUAAACGGCCAAGAACUCAGCACAACUCCAAGGCAA